CCAGCAGCUGCGGUAAUUCCAGCUCUAAUAGCGUAUAUUCAAGUUGUUGCAGUUAAAAAGCUCGUAGUCGGAAUUCGGGUUCGGGCAGGCUUCUGACCUCUGGGAAGAUGGCAGGCUCGGAUCUUUCUGCCUUGUUUCUAUCUCGCACUUAACUGUUCGGGAUAGGGAUUAGGCCGUUUACUUUGAAAAAAUUAGAGUGUUCAAAGCAGGCCAACGCUUGAAUACAUUAGCAUGGAAUAAUGGAAUAGGACUUUGGUGCUAUUUCGUUGGUUUAUGGGACCGAAGUAAUGAUUAAUAGGGACAGUCGGGGGCAUUCGUACUCAACAGUCAGAGGUGAAAUUCUUGGAUUUGUUGGAGACGAACUACUGCGAAAGCAUUUGCCAAGGAUGUUUUCAUUGAUCAAGAACGAAAGU
rnacentral:rRNA from 1 species